rnacentral:tRNA from 1 species
UCCUGGUUAGCUGAGCUGCGACACCACUUUACUGGAGAUGGAGAGAAUCCUGGUUCGAUACCAGGACCGGGAC